rnacentral:rRNA from 1 species
UACGGAGGAUGCGAGCGUUAUCCGGAUUUAUUGGGUUUAAAGGGUGCGUAGGCGGUCCGUUAAGUCAGCGGUAAAGUUGCGGGGCUCAACCCCGUCGAGCCGUUGAAACUGUCAGACUUGAGUUGGCGAGAAGUACGCGGAAUGCGCGGUGUAGCGGUGAAAUGCAUAGAUAUCGCGCAGAACUCCGAUUGCGAAGGCAGCGUACCGGCGCCACACUGACGCUGAGGCACGAAAGCGUGGGGAUCAAACAGG